CAGCCGUAAACUAUGCGCGUUAGGUGUAUCGGUGACCACGAGUCACCGAGGUGCCGAAGGGAAAUCGUGAAACGUGCCGCCUGGGAAGUACGGCCGCAAGGCUGAAACUAAGGAUUGGCGGGGGGAGCACAACAACGGGUGGAGCCUGCGGUUUAAUUGGACUCAACGCCGGACAACUCACCGGGGAACGACAGCAAUAUGUAGGCCAGGCUGAAGACCUUGCCUGAAUCGCUGAGAGGAGGUGCAUGGCGUCAGUGACU
rnacentral:rRNA from 1 species